rnacentral:rRNA from 1 species
AGAGUUUGAUCAUGGCUCAGGAUGAACGCUGGCGGCGUGUCUAACACAUGCAAGUCGAGCGAUUCUCUUCGGAGAAGAGCGGCGGACGGGUGAGUAACGCGUGGGUAACCUGCCCUGUACACACGGAUAACAUACCGAAAGGUAUGCUAAUACGAGAUAAUAUACUUUUAUCGCAUGGUAGGAGUAUCAAAGCUUUUGCGGUACAGGAUGGACCCGCGUCUGAUUAGCUAGUUGGUAAGGUAACGGCUUACCAAGGCGACGAUCAGUAGCCGACCUGAGAGGGUGAUCGGCCACAUUGGAACUGAGACACGGUCCAAACUCCUACGGGAGGCAGCAGUGGGGAAUAUUGCACAAUGGGCGAAAGCCUGAUGCAGCAACGCCGCGUGAGCGAUGAAGGCCUUCGGGUCGUAAAGCUCUGUCCUCAAGGAAGAUAAUGACGGUACUUGAGGAGGAAGCCCCGGCUAACUACGUGCCAGCAGCCGCGGUAAUACGUAGGGGGCUAGCGUUAUCCGGAAUUACUGGGCGUAAAGGGUGCGUAGGUGGUUUCUUAAGUCAAAGGUGAAAGGCUACGGCUCAACCGUAGUAAGCCUUUGAAACUGGGAAACUUGAGUGCAGGAGAGGAGAGUGGAAUUCCUAGUGUAGCGGUGAAAUGCGUAGAUAUUAGGAGGAACACCAGUUGCGAAGGCGGCUCUCUGGACUGUAACUGACACUGAGGCACGAAAGCGUGGGGAGCAAACAGGAUUAGAUACCCUGGUAGUCCACGCCGUAAACGAUGAGUACUAGCUGUCGGAGGUUACCCCCUUCGGUGGCGCAGCUAACGCAUUAAGUACUCCGCCUGGGAAGUACGCUCGCAAGAGUGAAACUCAAAGGAAUUGACGG